AUUGAACGCUGGCGGCAUGCCUUACACAUGCAAGUCGAACGGCAGCACGGGAGCAAUCCUGGUGGCGAGUGGCGAACGGGUGAGUAAAGUAUCGGAACGUGCCCAGUCGUGGGGGAUAACGUAGCGAAAGUUACGCUAAUACCGCAUACGAUCUAUGGAUGAAAGCGGGGGAUCGCAAGACCUCGCGCGAUUGGAGCGGCCGAUAUCAGAUUAGGUAGUUGGUGGGGUAAAGGCUCACCAAGCCGACGAUCUGUAGCUGGUCUGAGAGGACGACCAGCCACACUGGGACUGAGACACGGCCCAGACUCCUACGGGAGGCAGCAGUGGGGAAUUUUGGACAAUGGGCGAAAGCCUGAUUCAGCCAUGCCGCGUGCAGGAUGAAGGCCUUCGGGUUGUAAACUGCUUUUGUACGGAACGAAAGGGUUUGGCCUAAUAAGCUGAGCUCAUGACGGUACCGUAAGAAUAAGCACCGGCUAACUACGUGCCAGCAGCCGCGGUAA
rnacentral:rRNA from 1 species